rnacentral:rRNA from 1 species
GCAGUCGAGCGGUAGAGAGAAGCUUGCUUCUCUUGAGAGCGGCGGACGGGUGAGUAAUGCCUAGGAAUCUGCCUGGUAGUGGGGGAUAACGUUCGGAAACGGACGCUAAUACCGCAUACGUCCUACGGGAGAAAGCAGGGGACCUUCGGGCCUUGCGCUAUCAGAUGAGCCUAGGUCGGAUUAGCUAGUUGGUGGGGUAAUGGCUCACCAAGGCGACGAUCCGUAACUGGUCUGAGAGGAUGAUCAGUCACACUGGAACUGAGACACGGUCCAGACUCCUACGGGAGGCAGCAGUGGGGAAUAUUGGACAAUGGGCGAAAGCCUGAUCCAGCCAUGCCGCGUGUGUGAAGAAGGUCUUCGGAUUGUAAAGCACUUUAAGUUGGGAGGAAGGGCAGUAAAUUAAUACUUUGCUGUUUUGACGUUACCGACAGAAUAAGCACCGGCUAACUCUGUGCCAGCAGCCGCGGUAAUACAGAGGGUGCAAGCGUUAAUCGGAAUUACUGGGCGUAAAGCGCGCGUAGGUGGUUCGUUAAGUUGGAUGUGAAAUCCCCGGGCUCAACCUGGGAACUGCAUUCAAAACUGACGAGCUAGAGUAUGGUAGAGGGUGGUGGAAUUUCCUGUGUAGCGGUGAAAUGCGUAGAUAUAGGAAGGAACACCAGUGGCGAAGGCGACCACCUGGACUGAUACUGACACUGAGGUGCGAAAGCGUGGGGAGCAAACAGGAUUAGAUACCCUGGUAGUCCACGCCGUAAACGAUGUCAACUAGCCGUUGGGAGCCUUGAGCUCUUAGUGGCGCAGCUAACGCAUUAAGUUGACCGCCUGGGGAGUACGGCCGCAAGGUUAAAACUCAAAUGAAUUGACGGGGGGCCCGCACAAGCCGGGGGAG